GGCUUCGUGGCCGAGUGCUAAGGACACUCGCCUCUCACCCUGGAGUUCCGGGUUCGAUCCACGGAGGAGCUA